CCGCUUUCAGCAGGGAAGAAGCGAAAGUGACGGUACCUGCAGAAGAAGCACCGGCUAACUAUGUGCCAGCAGCCGCGGUAAUACAUAGGGUGCAAGCGUUGUCCGGAAUUAUUGGGCGUAAAGAGCUCGUAGGUGGUUCGUCACGUCGGAUGUGAAACUCUGGGGCUUAACCCCAGACCUGCAUUCGAUACGGGCGAGCUUGAGUAUGGUAGGGGAGUCUGGAAUUCCUGGUGUAGCGGUGGAAUGCGCAGAUAUCAGGAGGAACACCAAUGGCGAAGGCAGGACUCUGGGCCAUUACUGACACUGAGGAGCGAAAGCGUGGGGAGCGAACAGGAUUAGAUACCCUGGUAGUCCACGCCGU
rnacentral:rRNA from 1 species